rnacentral:tRNA from 1 species
UGCGAAUGGCUUAGUGGUAGAGUGCUUGCCUAGCAUGCAUGCAGCCUGGGUUCGAUUCCUCAGUAUCACAU